UUCAAAUCUCAUGCAUAGUUUAACGAUGACGUCAAAAACAAUGACUUCUUGCUUUCGAUGACUUAGGAAAACUAUAUUCGCUUUGACCUAACUUGUUUGAGUUUGACUUUUAAUCUCAAACCCUAAUUCCCCCUCUUAUUAUUAUCCAUUAAAGCUAAAUGCUGAACUAAAGCAUGUAAGAAAAUCAAAAUUAUCCAUUUCAUUAAUCAAUUCAACCAAAGUCAACGAGUAUCUAAACUUUUGCCUUGUGUUUUUGUGUCUUCAAAUAAAAAGCUUCGCUAAAGGGCUAAAACAAUUAUAUUUUCAAAGACACAGUCGUGUAUACCUCUGUUUAUAAUGGAGUAUCCAAAGCGUCCUAAGCCACUUUUCAAAAGAUCAAGAAAAAUUCCGUUUUCUCAUAGGUAUCCUAAAACAUUUUAUUACGGUUGUGUUGGCGGUGCAGCUCUGCUUUUAUUUAGUCGAAUUAUUUAUGAUAUGAUUUAUCGCCCGCCUACAAUCGAUCCUCUUUCAUUAACACCUGAAGAAAGAAGAAAAAUAGUUUUCCAGUCUACUAGAAUUUACCAUAAAGACGAUUUACCUCCCAAAAAGUCGGAAAAAUGAUUAUUUUAAAAUCUAGUAGUGGAAAAAAUUGGACUAUGUUACCAACAUUUGUUAAUAAAGUCACAAAUCAAAUAAUAUUUAUCUGUAUCUUUUAGAUAAUCUUUUUUAUUAAAAGUGUUCUUAACACUGUAUUUUA